GAGUUCGAUCCUGGCUCAGGAUUAACGCUGGCGGCGUGCCUAAUACAUGCAAGUCGAACGGAAGUACCUUCGGGUACUUUAGUGGCGAACGGGUGAGUAAUACAUAGGUAACCUACCCUUAAGACGAGGAUAGCCAUUGGAAACGAUGGAUAAAACUGGAUAGGAUAUAGAGGAAGAAUCUUUUAUAUUUAAAAGAGAGAUCUGCUUAAGGAGGGGCCUGUGGCGCAUUAGCUAGUUGGUGGGGUAAGGGCCUACCAAGGCGAUGAUGCGUAGCCGGACUGAGAGGUUGAACGGCCACAAUGGAACUGAGAACGGUCCAUACUCCUACGGGAGGCAGCAGUAGGGAAUUUUCGGCAAUGGGGGGAACCCUGACCGAGCAACGCCGCGUGAACGAAGAAGUUAUUCGUAAGAUAAAGUUCUUUUAUCAUGGAAGAAAGAGAAUUGACGGUACCUGAG
rnacentral:rRNA from 1 species